rnacentral:rRNA from 1 species
UCCUACGGGAGGCAGCAGUGGGGAAUAUUGCACAAUGGGGGGAACCCUGAUGCAGCGACGCCGCGUGAGCGAUGAAGUAUUUCGGUAUGUAAAGCUCUAUCAGCAGGGAAGAAAAUGACGGUACCUGACUAAGAAGCCCCGGCUAACUACGUGCCAGCAGCCGCGGUAAUACGUAGGGGGCAAGCGUUAUCCGGAUUUACUGGGUGUAAAGGGAGCGUAGACGGCUGUGCAAGUCUGGAGUGAAAGGCAUGGGCUCAACCUGUGGACUGCUUUGGAAACUGCGCGGCUUGAGUAUCGGAGAGGCA